GUAGGGAAUCUUCCACAAUGGACGAAAGUCUGAUGGAGCAACGCCGCGUGAACGAUGAAGGCCUUCGGGUCGUAAAGUUCUGUUGUAAGGGAAGAACAAGUGCCGCAGGCAAUGGCGGCACCUUGACGGUACCUUGCGAGAAAGCCACGGCUAACUACGUGCCAGCAGCCGCGGUAAUACGUAGGUGGCAAGCGUUGUCCGGAAUUAUUGGGCGUAAAGCGCGCGCAGGCGGCCUCUUAAGUCUGAUGUGAAAGCCCCCGGCUCAACCGGGGAGGGCCAUUGGAAACUGGGGGGCUUGAGUAUAGGAGAGAAGAGUGGAAUUCCACGUGUAGCGGUGAAAUGCGUAGAGAUGUGGAGGAACACCAGUGGCGAAGGCGACUCUUUGGCCUAUAACUGACGCUGAGGCGCGAAAGCGUGGGGAGCAAACAGGAUUAGAAACCCUAGUAGUCC
rnacentral:rRNA from 1 species